rnacentral:lncRNA from 10 species
UGAACUGCAAAUUGGAAUAAUUUGGGUCCUGAUUUGUGAAUUGAAAAGAUUACUUGAAAUUUGGAAUGUCCCUGGAAAUCUAGGACUUCUGGUUAUUCAGGCCAGGCGCGGUGGCUCACGCUUAUAAUCCUGGCACUUUGGGAGGCCGAGGCGGGUGGAUCACCUAAGGUCAGGAGUUUGAGACCAGCCUGGCCAACGUGGUGAAAUGCCAUCUCUACUAAAAAUACAAAAAUUAGCUGGGCGUGGUGGCGGGCGCCUGUAAUCCCAGUUACUUGGGAGGCUGAGACAGGAGAAUCGCUUAAACCUAGGAGGUGUUCAGUCGGUUGUAGUGGGCCAAGAUCACGCCAUUGCACUCCAGCCUGGGCAAUAAGAGCGAAACUCUUUCCCCCACCACCCCCCCCCAAAAAAAAGAAAAGAAAAUGGAUCGGGAUUUUUUUUUUAAACGGCAUUUACUAAACAGCUAAGUACCUUCUAUGAGCAAGGCACUGUACAAGAGCUGUUGGGGAUACCAAAAUAAUACAAUCUACGAUCUACUAAAGUUACAAGCCGGACAUUAUGGUGACUGGAUGUUCAGAAAAGAAACCAGAUGACAUUAUUAUGGUACACCAAAAAAGCCCCCCAAAAACCGUACUCAACUGUCACAUUCUUAUGGAAUACAAUUUUUACAGAUUGUAUACAAUUUGCAUGUGAAAUUCUGCUUACUUUUUGACUAGGUAUGCCACUAAUGGGUAUGUUUAAUAAAGAUAUUUUAUACUUCAGAUGUACAGACCAGGUCCGGUUAAUUUUAGCCAACAAUGUAUUGUUGAAAAAGACGCUGAUAUUUUACUGCGGCAAACCACCAUUAACAUAAAUUUUAACCACAGUUUGAGUAUUUUAUUAGGAAUAAGCCUUGAAACUUGAAUAGGACUAGUAUUCCUAACAAUUUACCGUUUCAUAAUAAAGGCUGUCUCACUCUUAAGUGGAAAACGUAUUAUGUCCUACUUUUAUAAACUUUGGUUGAACUAAAUAAAACAGC